UUAAAAGCUAACAUUUAUCACGCCAGCUAAGAUGAGCUGACGGGCACUGGGGGGAAAGUACAAUUGACUGCAAUUACACUUUGAAAAAUGUUAUCUGUGCCACUGACCACUGGGGAUAAAUGAUGAGAUUUCAUUUGUUUCUUCAAGCUUCAGAUUCUUUUUCCCAACUUCUUUUUUGUUGGGUUUUUUUUUUUGUUAGUUUGUUUUUCCUUUUGCCUGUAGGUUGCCUCAACGCUGAGCUGCUCAGGGCAGGACCUGAGGGAAGGGAACUGCAUUGUCCCAAAGUCGUAGGGAUCCUCCGUGCUGUGCCCUGGUGAGUGCAAGUGCCAUCCCUCUGCUCCCGUCCCGUCUGGGUACGUCGCACCUUCCUCAUCCUCACCUGGGGACAUCAUACCUAGGGACAUCGCACCUUCCUCGUCCCCACCUGGGGACAUCGUGCUCAGGAAAAAAGGUUCCCAUCAUGGGCUUUUUCGCACACCUGGAGCACAAGGCAGAUUGUUCAUCAAAGUUUUGUAGGCUCAUCCAUCAGAGAGGAAGCCCAUAAGAAAUAGCAGCUGCUCUCCGGUAAAUCCCGAUGUCGGCGUGUAGGUGGUCGAAAAAUGGCAACUCUCGGGGGGAGGAGAGAAAUUAAAAUAAUGUGCCAACAAAAGAAGUUUGGUCAGACGCAAUCUUCUAACAAGAAUGGACUUUAAAAUUAUGGUUAUUAACAAGGUUUCAUUUCAGCAGCAGUUAAAGAAGCUUUAGAAGGUAUCGCAAUUAAUUUGUAAGUUUAUAUUACACAUUAUAACGUGAGGGGCCAUUAACGAGGCGGUGACAUUAAAUUUAAUGUACUUGGCAAAUGGGACAGUUUGUCUCUCCCUCCUGGGUGCGUUCCCGGGUGGCUGGUUGGGGUUCGGCGCUGCCGUAUUUCUUCCCGGAGGCAGCGGUGCCGGGGACCCCGAUGCUCAAGAGGUCGGGCAGGGCUGCGCAGGCACGGCCGGUACCCGCCGGCGCGGGGGGUUAUCGCGGUGAUGCGCGGCGGUGCCGUGGCCGUCCCGGGUCUGGGGGGCACUGGUGGGAUGAGAAGUUUUGGGCCCAGCUCUGCGGCAUGGCCAACGAGGCUCAGAUGAAUAUAAGGAGAAUAUGAAAUGUCUCAUACCUAUAACUUUAAAUUAAAAAAGCAAUGUACUGUUUAUUGGUUCUUCCGAGUGUCUCCGGAGCGGCAGGCUCAUAAAGAUCAUAUUACAGUACAAGCCAUUAUGCAAAGAGUUUACUAUAUAUACAUUUCUAAAUGCUUCAGCAAACAGCAGCCUACUUACGAGCAGAGAAGGAUAACUGGUUCGUUUGGGGUAACAAAUGAUCCUUGAUUUGAUUUUAAAUGCAAUGACAGCAAAAUUUAUUUCUUAUUUAAUCACUUGCCAGAGCUGUUGAGGACGGGAUGGUAUUAAACUGCACAAUGCAGCAUAUGACUACUGAAUCAGUUGAAAUAGGCAUAAGAAUAUAUUAUGUUUAUAGGAUAGAAAAAGAUUGUACAGCAAUGCAUAUAACUAGAAUGGGUAUUUUUGUCAUUUAUACAGUAGCUUAUAUCAUUAUUUCUUCCCGCUUCCAAUUUUUCAGUAAUAAAAAUACAGGGGAUGUGA